rnacentral:tRNA from 1 species
GGAGAGGUGGCCGAGUGGCUGAAGGCAGCCGCCUGCUAAGCGGUUAUCGGGGGUCAACCCCGAUCGAGGGUUCGAAUCCCUCCCUCUCCG